CAAAGGUACAACCAAAGAGUAUUCCCUUCUCUCUGGUACAACCGUAACGCCUUUGAUAAGGCGUUACUUUUUUCAGGCGUUAUGAAAAUUGAAGGUGCCGAUUUUUUUAAUCACAGUAAUCUCCAAAAUUUUCCCAGUGACAGUUGAAAAUAAACAAACCCACUCUCAGACCCGGGACAAAUUCUGAAUAAUAUGUGAGAUUCACGAAUCCAUGGAGGAAACCCGGGCGCUCUUGACUUACGCAUUGGACAGUGCGACAUCCUAAAUCCAAAUGAGACGGCCGCACCGUCCCGGAGAAGCACGUCUCCCGCACGACAAACGCUACCAAAACGUCACGCUGGUCUUCAGCACCGGCAAAGACCAGAUUACGAGUAUCUUCCCUUGGCCAGCUCUGAUGCGCCUCAACAACCCGCAGCCCAGCAGCCCACUUCCAAAAUGGAAAAUUUCGACGACCGCGUCUCGGUCCAGGCUACCUUAAAGGACCGGCCUAUUCGUUCCUUCAAGUGGCCACUUUGCUCGUAACGCCCACCCACAUCAUAGUGCUGCGCGAGCUCGAACGCAAAGACAAGGUGCGCGUAAUCGUGCGGCGACUUCUCCAGAACAAUACCAAAAGCUGCACCGUGAUUUAAUUGAAGAUUUUUUUGAUUUUAUGUUCAUUGUAAUACUCUUAAUAAAAUAAAA